AGUUAUUUUAUUUUAUUUAUUUUUAUUAUUAAUUAUUUUAUUUAAUUUAUUUAAUUUAAUUAUAUUUUAUUAUUAUAGAAUUAUGUUUAUUUAUUUUUAUUUAUUUAUAGAAUUUUUUUAAAUAUUCUGAUUUAAUAAUUGAUUUUAAUAUUGAUUUUGCCCGGCGCCAUCUAUUAAUCACUUACCUUACUAGCUCAGUUAUAAAGUGAAUUCUGCAUGAGAUCUCCUAUCUGUGGAGGUGUGAGAAAAGAUUUCUGAAAUAUCAACUAAACAAACGACACAAAAAUACAGCUAUAUGAAAUGGUUGAUAAAUAACAAAAGACUGUCGAAUAUUGUACACGAAUUUGGAAAUAUAUUGAAAAUAAAGGCUUUGUUAUGCAACAUCAAAAAUACAAGGUUAUCUAGUCGAAAGUCUGAAGGAAGAAAUAUGAUGCAAUGAAUUUAACUAUAUAAAAAAAAAAAUAAAAGUAUUUGACAAAAAUUUAAGUCGAAGAUAACCCAAAAUUAUCUUGAAUAUUCAAAAUUUGUUAUAUUAAAGCUAGAAAAUGAAAAAAAAAACAUUGACUUUAGAUCAUGAUCAAUUAAAAAUAUAAACUGUUCAGUACAACCUUUCACGAUGUAAUAUGAAGAUAAACCAAACUGCUAUGAAGUCUCUUCGGAUCCAAUAAGAAACCAACUGCUUCUCUUUCACUGGAACAAUGUUCUAAACAUGGUAGAUACCCGCAUCGGAAUACUUUUUCACUUUUCUUAUAAAGUUGAGGGUCAUUUUUGAAAAUUUUUUCUUCACCAUGAAGAUUAUUUAUACAGAUUGAUGUCUAUUUCAACAUAAUUUCACAAAUCUACACAUGCAGCUAAGUGAUGCAAGACGUAUCACCUUAACGAAGUUCCUUUCGAAGUGACUUUUGGAAACAUGGAACCUUUUGAUGAUUCUUACGAACAAAUAAGGCUAUUGUAUGAUAAAAAUAGAAGUAAUUCUCAGGUGUGAAAAUUCGUCUUUUGAAAGUAUAAGGAUAUCGUCUAUAUAAUGAAGAAUAAAAUCAUCAUAUUUAUCUAAAAUAUUAUGAA